rnacentral:rRNA from 1 species
CCUGAACUUAAGCAUAUCAAUAAGCGGAGGAAAAGAAACUAACGAGGAUUCCCCUAGUAACGGCGAGUGAAGCGGGAAGAGCUCAAAUUUGUAAUCUGGCGGUCUUAGGCCGUCCGAGUUGUAGUCUGGAGAAGCGUUUUCCGUGCCGGACCGUGUACAAGUCCCUUGGAACAGGGCGUCAUAGAGGGUGAGAAUCCCGUCUUUGACACGGACUGCCGGUGCUAUGUGAUGCGCUCUCGAAGAGUCGAGUUGUUUGGGAAUGCAGCUCAAAAUGGGUGGUAAAUUCCAUCUAAAGCUAAAUAUUGGCGAAAGACCGAUAGCGAGCAAGUACCGUGAGGGAAAGAUGAAAAGCACUUUGGAAAGAGAGUUAAACAGUACGUGAAAUUGUUGAAAGGGAAACGCUUGAAGUCAGUCGCGUCUUAGAGAAUUAAGCCGGGUUUUGAUCGGUGGGUGUUUUGGGAGGRARCGGGCAUCGGUAWGUGUYCUCGGAGAAACAUAUGGGGAAUGGGGCAUCCUCCCAUGUGGUGUGACCSAGGGCAGGAUACUACGACGGACGACCAAGGAACGCAGAGUGGCAUUAAGAUGCUGAGGAAAUGGCUGUAAGGGGUCCGUCUAAAACACAGCCAUCACGGAACACGGA